rnacentral:ncRNA from 1 species
AGCAAAGCUAUGACUGGAACGAGUAGGGCGUCAUUGCAGUGUCAGCGAAUUAGGAUAUCGGUGUGAGCCUAAUCUCUGCAGCGUAUCGAAUAUCCCCCAGGAGCGUCUCUUGAAUCAAGUAGAGAGAACCGGGUCAUGCCGUUACACAUGGUCGAGUGAUUAAGCGUUAGAGCUGCGCAAUGUGCGCUGGUUCAAUUGCUUAAUAACGAGGGUGGUACCGCGAGUUGAGUUUCUCGUCCCUUUU